rnacentral:rRNA from 1 species
UAUAGGUCAAGCUACAAAGGGCGCAUGGUGAAUGCCUUGGCAUCAGGAGCCGAUGAAGGACGUGAUAAGCUGCGAUAAGCUUCGGGUAGGCGCACAUAGCCUGAGAUCCGAAGAUCUCCGAAUGAGGAAACUCACAUGGGAAACCCCAUGUAUCAUUAAGUGAAUACAUAGCUUAAUGA